ACAGUCGUAGCCGAGCGGUUAAGGCGAUGGACUAGAAGUACAUUGGGGUCUCCCCGCAGAGGUUCGAAUCCUGUCGACUGCG
rnacentral:tRNA from 1 species